rnacentral:rRNA from 2 species
UAGUAAGAGUUAUUUGCUUGAAACUUAAAGAAUCUGGCAGUAUUUUAAUCUAGUUAGAGGAACCUGUUUAUUAAUUGAUAUUCCACGAUUAAUUUUACUUUAAUUAUUAAAUUUGUAUAUCAUUGUUAUAAAAAUUUUUUUUACAAAAAAAAAUUUAAUUAUUUAUAGUAAAAUUUAUAUCAAAUCAAGAUGCAGUUUAUAUUAAAGAAUUUAAUGGGUUAUCAUAAAAAAAUUUAUGGAAAUGAUAUGAAAUUAAAUUUAUAAAGUAGAUUUAUAAGUAAUUUAAAUAAUUUUAUUUAAAUGAUUUAAGUUCUAAAAUAUGUACAUAUUGCCCGUCAUUUUCAUUUU